AAGGCGUCAACUACGUCAAUAAGGCAGCGGGUGGUCAAUAUACAUUAUUGCCAACGGACCGGUUCUCCUCAAAUGUCACGUCGGUAUGCGGGUUUGCAUGUCGGGUUGCCAACUUCGCGUGUGCGUGUUGCGUGUUGCGUUUUGCGUUUUUCAAGCACACACACGCGAACAUGACUUUGUAACUUGUGCCACACAUUGGUCGAGUGUUUGUGGGGUGCUGCCCCCUGAAUGUUGGCUUCUACAGGGAUGGUGUGGCUGCUUGUAUUGCAGCGGUGAAAGGUGCAUUAAUAGACCCACGGUAGUGUACUUGUGCUGACGUG
rnacentral:lncRNA from 1 species